CUGCAACAUCGGAAGAAACACCAGACCAUUGUUGGACUUUUAGCACCAUACAACUAAUUUAACUCGGACAGCGACCAGUCUCGGCGGCGUACGACGUGACACUCAAUAGUUUUGUCUCCCCAAGAUUGCUUAGCGGCCGUCGGUCACAGAACGGUAAAGCCGUUUGAUGAAAUACAGGAGAUUGAUGAAAUUGGGGAUUUAAUUGAGACAAUGAAGCGAAGGGUGUCCGUGAAGAUCUGUCCCUCAGGUUGUUGCAGAUGUCCCGAGGAGCCAAGCACCGGUACGGCAAUUUUUAGAUCUAACGAGCUCCCAAAACGCUUGUCGAACAAUGAAGACAAAUACACCGUUGAAAAGUUUGAGCUGACUCCUAAGUUACAGAAACUGCUGGAUCGUGUUGGAUAAAAAGAACAUGUGUCAAAAGAAAGAACGUGUGUCAAGAAGAAAUGGCUUUGAAAUGAUAUGCUUUGUGUAACGGAUUAGUGAAUUAUUAACAUUUAAGUGUAGGUAAUUGUGGCAAUAUAAUUAUUAUUAUUUGGAUACUGUAUCUUAAUUUACACGGUUUCAUAAGCUUGGUGUACAUAUGUAUCUAUAUAACGGAAGCUUUAGGUGGUUUUCGAUCCGUUCGAAACUUCAAAUUGAUUUGAAACUAGCACACUUAUCAACCACUAAUGACAAUGCAAUAAAUGAAAAUUGUCUGUCCCAUUUUUCUUACCUGGAUCUUCAGGACUAGCUAUUUUCUU